UACGGAGGGGGCUAGCGUUGUUCGGAAUUACUGGGCGUAAAGCGCACGUAGGCGGCUUUGUAAGUUAGAGGUGAAAGCCCGGGGCUCAACUCCGGAAUUGCCUUUAAGACUGCAUCGCUAGAAUUGUGGAGAGGUAAGUGGAAUUCCGAGUGUAGAGGUGAAAUUCGUAGAUAUUCGGAAGAACACCCGUGGCGAAAGCGGCUCUCUGGAACGGUACUGACGCUGAGACGCGAAAGCGUGGGGAGCGAACAGG
rnacentral:rRNA from 1 species